AUACCUGUAGAAUUCUACCAACAUUGUUGGGAGGUGGUGAGUUCGGACUUAUUUCGCUUGUUUGAAUGGUUUUAUGAGGGUAGGCUGGAUGUGCAACGUUUAAACUAUGGGAUUAUCACGUUGCUUCCUAAAACUAAUGAUGCCAAAAAGAUACAGCAGUAUAGGCCCAUAUGCUUGUUACGAUGUCCCUAUAAAUUGAUCACUAAAGUCAUGGAUCUUAGGGCCAGUAAGGUGGCUGAUAAGAUGUUUAGCAUUCAACAAAAUGCCUUCAUCAAAGGAAGGCAUAUUGUGGACGGGAUCUUAUCCUUACAUGAGGUGCUGCACUAUACCCAUGUCAAAAAGCAGGUGGGAGUAGUCCUUAAGAUCGAUUUCAAAAAAGCUUAUGACAAAGUGGACUGGGAGGUCCUGCUUGAUUGUCAUGUUAAACGUGGCUUUAAUAACAAAUGGUGUGAGUGGGUCUCACAAAUCCUGAGAAAUGGGACAGUGAAUGUGAAAAUCAACGAUGAGAUGGGUGUUGGAAAUAUGCCCUAG
rnacentral:rRNA from 1 species